rnacentral:rRNA from 1 species
AUUGAACGCUGGCGGCAGGCUUAACACAUGCAAGUCGAACGAGGAGCGGACGGGAGUGUAAUGCUUGAGAAUCUGGCUUAUGGAGGGGGAUAACGACGGGAAACUGUCGCUAAUACCGCGUACAAUAGGAUGUGCCGCAGUGGGCUUAGGUAGGUGGUGGGGUAAGGGCCAACCAAGCCGACGAUGUGUAGCUGGUCUGAGGGGAUGACCAGCCACACCGGGACUGGGACACGGCCCGGACGCCUACGGGAGGCAGCAGGGGGGAAUAUUGCGCAAUGGGGGCAACCUGACGCAGCCAUGCCGCGUGAAUGAAGAAGGCCUUCGGGUUGUAAAGUUCUUUCGGUGACGAGGCGUUAAUCACAGAAGAAGCACCGGCUAACUCCGUGCCAGCAGCCGCGGUAAUUC